rnacentral:rRNA from 1 species
UCCAGACUCCUACGGGAGGCAGCAGUGAGGAAUAUUGGUCAAUGGCCGAAGGGCUGAGCCAGCCAAGCCGCGUGAAGGAAUAAGGCCCUACGGGUCGUAAACUUCUUUAGUCAGGGAACAAAGGGUGCCACGCGUGGCGCUGUGAGUGUACCUGAAGAAUAAGCAUCGGCUAACUCCGUGCCAGCAGCCGCGGUAAUACGGAGGAUGCGAGCGUUAUCCGGAUUUACUGGGUGUAAAGGGGGCGCAGACGGCGAUGCAAGCCAGGAGUGAAAGCCCGGGGCCCAACCCCGGGACUGCUCUUGGAACUGCGUGGCUGGAGUGCAGGAGGGGCAGGCGGAAUUCCUGGUGUAGCGGUGAAAUGCGUAGAUAUCAGGAGGAACACCGGUGGCGAAGGCGGCCUGCUGGACUGCAACUGACGUUGAGGCCCGAAAGCGUGGGGAGCAAACAGGAUUAGAUACCCCGGUAGC